rnacentral:sRNA from 1 species
GAAUAGCUCCUUGCUGUUGAAGUGGACGUGGAUGUCGAACGCGCCGGGCGUCGCGAUGAGGCCGUCGGCCGGUAUCGUGUCGGUGCUCGCGCCAAUGAUCAGAUCGUCGUCGACGCCGUCCAUCGUGUCCGGGUUGCCGGCCUUGCCGACGCCGACGACUUUCCCGUUACGGACCCCGAUAUCGCCCUUCUGGACGCCGAGGACGGGAUCGAUGACGACGACGUUGGUGUACACCCAGUCGAGGGCGCCGUCCGCCUGCGUCGUGCCGGGCUGCAUC